UACGUAGGGUGCAAGCGUUAAUCGGAAUUACUGGGCGUAAAGCGUGCGCAGGCGGUGAUGUAAGACAGUUGUGAAAUCCCCGGGCUCAACCUGGGAACUGCAUCUGUGACUGCAUCGCUGGAGUACGGUAGAGGGGGAUGGAAUUCCGCGUGUAGCAGUGAAAUGCGUAGAUAUGCGGAGGAACACCGGUGGCGAAGGCGGCCUGCUGGGCAGUAGCUGACGCUGAUGCGCGACGAGCGUGGGGAGCAAACAGG
rnacentral:rRNA from 1 species